UUAAAUUGAAGAGUUUGAUCAUGGCUCAGAUUGAACGCUGGCGGCAGGCUUAACACAUGCAAGUCGAACGGUAACAUAAGUGCUUGCACUUGAUGACGAGUGGCGGACGGGUGAGUAAGGUAUGGGGAUCUGCCGAGUGGCGAGGGACAACAGUUGGAAACGACUGCUAAUACCUCAUAAAGUUGAGAGACCAAAGCAUGGGAUCUUCGGACCAUGUGCCAUUUGAUGAACCCAUAUGGGAUUAGCUAGUUGGUGGGGUAAAGGCUCACCAAGGCGACGAUCUCUAGCUGGUCUGAGAGGAUGACCAGCCACACUGGAACUGAGACACGGUCCAGACUCCUACGGGAGGCAGCAGUGGGGAAUAUUGCACAAUGGGGGAAACCCUGAUGCAGCCAUGCCGCGUGUAUGAAGAAGGCCUUCGGGUUGUAAAGUACUUUCGGUGAUGAGGAAGGUGUUGUAUCUAAUAGGUGCAACAAUUGACGUUAAUUACAGAAGAAGCACCGGCUAACUCCGUGCCAGCAGCCGCGGUAAUACGGAGGGUGCGAGCGUUAAUCGGAAUGACUGGGCGUAAAGGGCAUGUAGGCGGAUGAUUAAGUUAG
rnacentral:rRNA from 1 species